UUUCCCCAAAUUCUCCAAAAUUCUACAAAUUCUCCCCAAAUCUCCCCAAUUUUUCCCUAAAUUCCUCAAACAUCCACAAAAAUUCCCAAAAAAUUCCCCGAAAAAUCGCCCAAAAUCCACAAAAAUCCCCAAAAAUCCCCAAAUAUGCCCCAAAAUCCCAAAAAGUUCCCCCAAAAAAAUCCCCAAAAAAUCCCCCAAAUUCCCCCAAAAAUCCCCAAUAUUUCUCCCAAAAUUCCCAAAAACCCCCAAAAUUCCCCAAAAAUUCCCAAAAUUCCCCAAAAUUCCCCAAAAAUUCCCAAAUUUCCCGAAAUUUCCCCAAAUUCCCCCAAGGAGCCGCAGCCGAAAUUCGGGUCCAGAAUUUAUUGGGGUCGGAUUUGGGAUUUGGGGAAUUUGGGGAAUUUUGGGUGAAUUUGGGGAAUUUUGGGGGAUUUUGGGAAUUUUUGGGGAGAUUUGGGGGAUUUUGGGUGAAUUUGGGGGAUUUUGGGGCUGCUCACGCCGCAUCGAUUGCCGCAGGGGCCCCUCGGACUCGUCCGGCUCCCCCGUCCUGCACCAGUACAGACCAGUUAGAACCAGUAUGGACCAGUUAGAACCAGUUAGAGACCAGUUAGAGACCAGUUAGAACCAGUACA
rnacentral:lncRNA from 1 species